UGGGGAAUUUUGCACAAUGGGGGAAACCCUGAUGCAGCGACGCCGCGUGAUUUAGAAGGCCUUCGGGUUGUAAAAAUCUUUUCUAUGGGAAGAAAAUGACAGUACCAUAGGAGUAAGGACCGGCUAAUUACGUGCCAGCAGCCGCGGUAAUACGUAAGGUCCGAGCGUUGUCCGGAAUCAUUGGGCGUAAAGGGUACGUAGGCGGGUAAGCAAGUUAGAAGUGAAAUCCUAUAGCUCAACUAUAGUAAGCUUUUAAAACUGCUCAUCUUGAGGUAUGGAAGGGAAAGUGGAAUUCCUAGUGUAGCGGUGAAAUGCGCAGAUAUUAGGAGGAAUACCGGUGGCGAAGGCGACUUUCUGGCCAUAACCUGACGCUGAGGUACGAAAGCGUGGGUAGCAAACAGG
rnacentral:rRNA from 2 species